UUCUACGGCCAUACUACCCUGAACACACCCUCUGAUCUCGGAAGCUAAGCAGGGUCAGGCCUGGUUAGUACUCAGAUGGGAGACCGCCCUGGGAAUACCGGGCGCUGUAGGCU
rnacentral:rRNA from 1 species